AACGAACGCUGGCGGCAGGCUUAACACAUGCAAGUCGAGCGCCCCGCAAGGGGAGCGGCAGACGGGUGAGUAACGCGUGGGAAUCUACCCUUUUCUACGGAAUAACGCAUGGAAACGUGUGCUAAUACCGUAUGAGCCCUUCGGGGGAAAGAUUUAUCGGGAAAGGAUGAGCCCGCGUUGGAUUAGCUAGUUGGUGGGGUAAAGGCCUACCAAGGCGACGAUCCAUAGCUGGUCUGAGAGGAUGAUCAGCCACAUUGGGACUGAGACACGGCCCAAACUCCUACGGGAGGCAGCAGUGGGGAAUAUUGGACAAUGGGCGCAAGCCUGAUCCAGCCAUGCCGCGUGAGUGAUGAAGGCCCUAGGGUUGUAAAGCUCUUUCACCGGUGAAGAUAAUGACGGUAACCGGAGAAGAAGCCCCGGCUAACUUCGUGCCAGCAGCCGCCGUAAAAC
rnacentral:rRNA from 1 species